GUAGAGUUUAUAAAUCUCUGUAACAUCACUCUCAAACUAAUUUGCCUUGAAAAAGAAAAAAAAAAAUGAAUCAAUCAAACAGACCAACCAGUACUACUAUUUACCAAGCUGUGGACGCCAAGGACAGAGCUCAGCAGGAAAGUAUUAGCAGUGCGAUGGAGAGGGCAAACCAUGCUGCCUGCUGCCAAUCUGCCAACGAGUCAUGCCAAGAGGGUGGCCAAAUGAAGGCUAAGCCCCAAGAGGCUGCUGAUGCUGCUAAGAUUACAGUCGGAACUGACAAAUGAAAAUCUACCUUCCUCAUCUUGAUCCUUCAAGUUUUCUUUUGUUUUUUGCUUUUUUUGUUUUUUGAUCCUUAAUUUCUAUACCGAUUUGUUUUCUACUUUUUUUAGCCUUGUUAUUGAUGAGCCGGCUGGCAAUCAAUAAUUAAUUUUAAUUAAUUAUGAGGAAAACUAUCUUAUAAAGUUUCACAGUUUUCUUA